AUCUAAGUAGCUUAUUUAGAGCACAGCCUUGAAGACGCUGGGGAGAUGCUUACAUCUUUAGAUA
rnacentral:tRNA from 1 species